GAAAAAUAAACAUGAAUGCAAUUUGAUCAGUUGAGGUUAAACACAAAACAAUGGAUGAAUGGAUGUUGUUGGGGGUUUACAAUUUCAUUUAUUCCGCUCUCUCUUACAUACUACCCUUGAAUAUUAGAUUGAUUCAAUUGUUAUGCGAUUUUCUUAGCCUCCCCUUAACCUGAUUCCUCGGCGAAAAGGCCUAAUAUUAACUACUGGCUUGCUAUCCCUAGCCUCCCCUAGUAAUUAAUACCGCAUUAUAAACAGAAGUUAGCGCAAUUGAUCGUCCUACCCCUAUCCCUAGGUGGUAUUGCAAAAUCAAGAGAUUACUCACUAGUUCAUGUCAUUAUUGUACGUCCCCAUAUCAAUAAAGACAAACAUCAAUAUACCGAAUGAGUUAAACGAUAAAGGCCUUAAGCACAGAUGAUAACCCAACAAUGAUAAAUCAAAACAUAUGGAGACCAUAUAAAUAAUCAAUAGUUUUAAUAAGAGAAAACAUCAAAAGAUUACAUUAUUUCCCCCAACAACAAUAGGGUUUAGUUCCCUACCGUCAUGGAGAAACUAGGUGAAGAAUGGGAUGAAAGAGAUAGAAACCCUAAAAAGGAGAAAAGGAGAGCCGUCACCAUCUCCAAAUCUAGCCCCAAAGGGGUGAAAAGUAUGUUUCUGUGCCUAAGCCAUCAAAAGAUACAAACCCUAAGACGUUCUGUGUAAGAUCCGAGAAAAUGUAGAGUUUAUAAACAAGUCUUAAAUAUGUUUUAUUAAAAUUUACAUGAUAUUACAAGGUGUUGUGCAGUUCAGUCGGUGUUCAAGUCUUGAGAAGAACGUAAAAUUCUAUAUUAUUUAUUUAUUUUGUUGAUAUAAGUGUAACACUUGUUAUCGUUUGAUUGUUAAAUUUGUGAUGUGUUGGCUUGUUGCUAAAAAUAUUUAUUUAGGAUUGAAUGUAAGAGUGUUCAGAUUUUAGAGAGAGGUUCAUGUGAAACAAUUGUUUGAUUUUAUUUAUAUUUUCUCAAGGGCAAGAAUGUCCUUUCCAUUUUGUAAUUGAGGUGUGAAAGUUAUAAAUAGGGGUGUGGAAAAUAAAGAAAAAUAUUUUAAAUAAUAUAAGUUAAAAAAAAAGGUAGGAAGUUAUUUUUUUUAAACCGCUUGAGAUAUUAUAGGGAGCACUAGCUAGGUGGUUUCUUUUAAUUAUAAUAUGAUUUAUUUAAAAUAAAAAUAAAAUGGGGUUUAUAAAAGAAAGGAAAAAAGAUUACGUUAAGAAUAGAGAAAGAGAAUAUAGAGCAUCGUAAGUCAAAAACUUUCUUUGAAAAAGAGAAAUCUUUUCUUUUAAAAGAUAUAGCAGAAGUGUGAAGACUUAUUACUGAUUCAUGUUCUAUAAUUGGCUAAGGUAUGGGAAGCUUACUUUUCUUUUAAAAGAUAUAACUUACUUUUCUAUUCACUUUUGGUUUUUGAUAUGACAUUGGGUCCAAAGUGGCGUUGGGCCAUUUUUCAAGGUUUGGGAGCAUUUCGUUCAAGGGCGCUGUUAAUCCCCUGGCAAGUGUACUAGAUCGUUAUCAAGUAAUAUAAUUGGUAAACUCAAUAUCGUUCUUCCCAAAGGACUCAAAGGCCUAAUCUUUCAUGUAAACUAAUUGCAUAAGAUUUGAGAAAGGAAUAAAUUUAGUGGUUUGUAUGCAAAGAACAAAAAUAAACAUGCAAUGUAAUUGAUUCAAUUGGUUUUGAGAAACUAUGGAUGANNNNNNNNNNNNNNNNNNNNNNNNNNNNNNNNNNNNNNNNNNNNNNNNNNNNNNNNNNNNNNNNNNNNNNNNNNNNNNNNNNNNNNNNNNNAAGAUUAAGGCAAUAUCAUCCAUGUUUUCCUGUGAACAAUACAUGCAACCAUAAAAACUCUGGAGCUCAAAAUGUCACACACAUGCUUCCUCACACAAAAUUCAUUCAUACACCAUGCCUAGCAUCAUGACCACAAUCAUAAAUUCAUCACCCAUCUAUUUCAUGGAUAUCAUCAUGCAUUACUACUCAAUUCUCUUCCACAUCAAAUAAUCAUCAAAUAGAUCCAUCAUGCAAAUUAGUUAGCCAAACAUUUUCAGAACAAGUAAUAAAGCCAAGAAUACACACCAAAAUUAAAAUUCAACUUAUUCUAGGAAUUUAAAAUGCAAAAGUGUAAGAAGAAAUUCUAGGUUGCCUCCUAGUAAACAUCACGAGCCUGACCCAAACCUGGUUGGCACUUGUCAGUAAGUGCACUACCUUCCACCACCCAACAGUAGGUGUACCUUCCGGAUGUCCUUCGGUAGAUACCUAUAUCUUCUAACAUCCCCCAGUAGAUGCUAUCCCAGUAGCACUCAUCAGUAAAUGCUAAUCUUUCUAAUCUUCAUUGGCAUCCAUCAGUAAAUGCCAUAUCACCUAACAUCCAUCAGUAGAUGUUGUAUAAGCAUCCAUCAGUAGAUGCUAUCAUCACUACCAUCAGACGCAACGCAUAACCAAAAAAAAAUAAACAAAUAAAAUAAAAUAAAAUAAAACCAAAUCAAAUAAAAUCAAAUAAAAUAAAAAAAAUCAAAUAAAAGAAAAUAAAAUAAAAUAAAAUAAAAUCAAAACGAAAUUGAAGAUAAAAAUUAAGAAACUGGGUUGCCUCCCAACAAGCACUCUUUUAACGUCAUUAGCUUGACCCGGUAAAACCCAAACACCCAUCAGUAGGUGUUGAAAUUUUAUGUUGGUGUUCCUCCUUCCUUCGUGACACCAACAACAUCUCGGAAAUUUCCUUUGUCACCAACUGUAAGAGCUGUGUUUGCUUUGAUAGUCUCGACAACCCAUAACCUAAUUUUGAAUUUCAUUGAUGUGCCAGGUUAGGGUUUGUUACUUUUCACAUCAGGGUGUUGGUGAACCAAUUCUCCUUCUUUAUCUGCCUCCUGAUGGUCAUGUGCUCCUAGUACCAAAAAUUUUAUCCUGCAUACACUAAAGAACACUGCACUAGAGCAUAAAAUUAGCCCAAAAAAAAAAUAAAAAAAAUAAAAGAUAAUUUUUAUUUUUGUUUUAAUUUUAAAUUUCGUUUUUUUUUAAAGAUAAAAGAAAAAAAAAAUAAACAAAAAAAAAAUGAAAUAAAAAGAUAAAAAGAAAAAUAAAUAGAAAGAUAGAAAGAUCGAAAGAUCGAAAGAUAAGGAGAAGGAUGAGGGAAAGAAUGUGAAGAAGAAUAAAGAGAAGAAUAUGGAAAGAUAUUAUUUUAUUUUAUUUUCGUUUUUUUUAAAUAAAAACAGAAAGAUAAAAAGAAAAAAAAAAUUAAAUAAAAUAAAAUGGAUGUUGUUGGGGGUUUACAAUUUCAUCUAUUCUGCUCUCUCUUACAUACUACCCUUGAAUAUUAGAUUGAUUAAUUUGUUAUGUGACUUUCUUACCCUCCCCUUAACCCGAUCCCUCGGCGAAAAGGGCCUAAUAUUAACUACUGGCUUGCUAUCCCUAGCCUCCCCUAGCGCAAUUGAUCGUCCUACCCCUAUCCCUAGGUGGUAUUGCAAAAUCAAGAGAUUACUCACUAGUUCAUGUCAUUAUUGUACGUCCCCAUAUCAAUAAAGACAAACAUCAAUAUACCGAAUGAGUUAAACGAUAAAGGCCUUAAGCACAGAUGAUAACCCAACAAUGAUAAAUCAAAACAUAUGGAGACCAUAUAAAUAAUCAAUAGUUUUAAUAAGAGAAAACAUCAAAAGAUUAC
rnacentral:lncRNA from 1 species